ACAGAUUGUACUUUUCCUUUCAGACACUUGUAUGUAGUAUUCAUUGACAGUUCAUGAUAUUGUGACACCGGAUUCCGGGUAGAGACGUAUGUUGGCAUUGUCAUGUUAGCUUUGGUUAAUUUAUCAGAUUAAGUCUUUCACUUAUUUUAUUUAUCGUUAAUGUUUUACUAUUAAUCACAUGUUAGUUUUAAAGUGUUAAAAAGAAUUAAUAAAUAAGUUAGAAAUUCUUCAAUGCGCGGCUUGCCUAGCUUCUACGAGUAGGCGCCAUCACGACUCCCGAAGGUAGGAAAUCCCGGAUCCUGACAAGUUGGUAUUAGAGCUCUAGGUUACAUAGGUAGCACAAUUCACGGACAAGCAUAGUAGAAUUUGGGUGGCUGCCUUCAGUUCAGCUAUAGAGAUCCUGAGGUAGUCCUGCAGGCGUCCGAAGGCCCGAAGUUCUCUUCUAUCUUAUUAUGUAUUCUGUUUCCAUUUGUUUCUGAGACAGAUUGUACUUUUCCUUUCAGACACUUAUAUGAGUAUUCAUUGACAGUUCGUGAUAUUGUGCCACCGGAUUCCGGGUAGAGACGUAUGUUGGCAUUGUCAUGUUGGCUUUGGUUAUUUUAUCAGAUUAAGUCUUCCGCUUAUUUUAUUUAUCGUUAAUGUUUUACUAUUAAUCACAUGUUAGUUUUAAAGUGUUAAAAAGAACUAAUAAAUGAGUUAGAAAUUUUUCAAUGCGCGGCUUGCCUAGCUUCUACGAGUAGGCGACAUCACGACUCCCAAAGGUAGGAAAUCCGGAUCGUGACAAGUUAGUAUUAGAGAUCUAGGUUACAUAGGUAUCACAAUUCACGGACAAGCUUAUUAGAAUUUGGGUGGAUACCUUCAGUUCAGCUAGAGAUCCCGAGGUAGUCCUGCAGGCGUCCGCAUGCCCGACGUUCUCUUCUAUCUUAUUAUGUAUUCUGUUUCCAUUUGUUUCUGAGACAAAUUGUACUUUUCCUUUCAGACACUUGUAUAUAGUAUUCAUUGACAGUUCAUGAUAUUAUGCCAUCGGAUUCCGGGUAGAGACGUAUGUUGGCAUUGUCAUGUUGUCUUUGCUUAUUUUAUCAGAUUAAGUCUUCCGCUUAUUUUAUUUAUCAUUAAUGUUUUACUACUAAUCACAUGUUAGUUUUGAAGUGUUAAAAAGAAAUAAUUAAUGAGUUAGAAAUUUUUCAAUGCGCGGCUUGCCUAGCUUCUACGAGUAGGCGACAUCACGACUCCCUAAGGUAGGAAAUCCGGAUCGUGACAAGUUGGUAUUAGAGCUCUAGGUUACAUAGAUAUCACAAUUCACGGGCAAGCUUAGUAGAAUUUGGGUGGCUGCCUUCAGUUCAGCUAGAGAUCCUGAGGUAGUCCUGCAGGCGUCCGUAGGCCCGACGUUCUCUUCUAUCUUAUUAUGUAUUCCGUUUCCAUUUGUUUCUAAGACAGAUUGUACUUUUCCUUUCAGACAUUUGUAUGUAGUAUUCAUUGACAGUUCGUGAUAUUGUGACACCGGAUUCUGGGUAGAGACGUAUGUUGGCAUUGUCAUGUUGGCUUUGGUUAAUUUAUCAGAUUAAGUCUUUCGCUUAUUUUAUUUAUCGUUAAUGUUUUACUAUUAAUCACAUGUUAGUUUUAAAGUGUUAAAAAGAAUUAAUAAAUGAGUUAGAAAUUCUUCAA
rnacentral:lncRNA from 1 species